GUUAUUUUAAGAGGAACAAUAAUUUCGAUGUGUCAAGAAAGUGACUUCAAUGUGUCAAGAGGAAGGUUCGAUGUAUCAAGUGCGAGAAUUGUAUAUUUUUGUGAGCUGAAGUGAUGGAAGCGAAGUAAUCGCAAGCGUCGCGCUGCUCUCCUCGUCGAGAUUCUCGAUCGUUUGUUGGGUCGAUAUCGUUCCUUUGAUCUCGGUAAGUUCCGCGGAUCUUAAUCGCAGCGAUACGCGAACGAAAGCGCGAAAGUAUAGCCGGUAGAGAGCGAGAAUCAGUAUUUUUCGUCGCUGAUCAUUGCGGCCAGAUAACUGCCGACUCUGGCUGAGUAAUGCCAAUCAUAUCCCUUAUCGUGUUUGUUCGAGUGUUCCUUGUCGAUGAUUCGUAUCGUAGAGUAAAUCGAGAGAGUCGAAAUUCAAAGUUUAGGACUUAAGUUGGAAUUAGGCGAUAAGGAACACUCGGAUUCCGUGUUGGAAUACUUUGCAUCAGGUACAAAAUAAUUCUACUUAAAAUGUGACCUUACAGAUAUUUGUUAUAUCAUCAUAUUUAAAUUAGGUUAUGUGACAAGUUACGAUCAAAUUCUAACCUCUUUUUCAAAUUUCAAGAUUCUAAAUUUAUUUACUAUUGUUCUAAACCUUUAUGUAUGGUGUACAGUUUUUAUCUCUUAUUUAAUUAAUCUCCUAUUAUACCAAUUCGUACCUAUCAAAAGGGUAUAAAAUCAAUGACGACUAAUUAGACAUAAUUGCUCGAAGGGUCUUUAGAAGACCCUUAAUUUCGACGGGGCAAGUAGAAACACAACACCAUCCGUUUUAAUUGAAUUAAACUAUACCUUCCCUCCCUAAUUAAAGAUAGGAUUGUCAUUACUCGACCAGGCUCGAUGGGAUCGUAAUUUAUUAACGCGUAAAUAAUUGCGAUUCGAACCUGAGAGGCUCUCUCGAAGAGAAUCCAGUGCCAAAUAUAUAUCUUCCCAGGCGUACGAUAUCUUGUUGCGUAUACAAAAUGCGGUACGUUUACUACGAUACGCGAUAAGAGCGAUCGUUUGCUCAAAAGUGCAACCGUACUAAACUAAUUUUUCUUCAAUUUCGUUCGUUCUCCUUUUUUGUUACGUUCGACGCGCACAGGUGUUCGCAAGGCGUUGUAUCGUGAUUCGCGUGCAUGAGUAACUAUUUUUCUUCGUGGAAUUGUCGUUCGACAACGGCGGCCGUGAACGUCACCAGACACGUGAAAUUCAUAGAAAUUAUAUCGGUAUACGGGUAUUAAUGCAUCUACGUCGCGUGACCGACGUUCACGAAACUGUUGCUCGAAGUAAUUCAUAAAAUGUUGGUUAUGUCUUUUACGUUUUCACACCAAGUACCGAAUGACUGAAUGUGAAUUGUAUUUUUUAACUUCGAUAUUAGGGGACUAUUUACGUAGUCAGUAUUUGUGAUAAAAUAUUAGUGACAUAAAUGGUCAGUAUUUAUCUGAACUUUUAUUA